rnacentral:other from 1 species
ACAGCCCUGUGCUGCGCGUGAGGCUCCAAUCGCGUGAGCCAACACCACGUGACCGGGCAUCCGACUUUCGCCGCGGCAGAGGCCCCGCGCUCGUCAGGGACCGAACGCACCGCGCCGGAGAGGGCGCCCACGUAUCGAGGAUGGGUUCAGCGUGGAGGGAGCCCACGGCAGACACGGGGCGUUU